rnacentral:tRNA from 1 species
GCCCCGAUAGCUCAGCUGGAUAGAGCAUGGGAUUUCUAAUCCCAGGGUCGCAGGUUCGAGUCCUGCUCGGGGUA